AUACGUACCUGGCAGGGUAGAUACCAUGAUCACGAGGUGCUUUUCCCAGGAAAGGAUUAUUCAUUGCACUUGAUGUGGUAACCCCUGAGAUUUCCCAAAAUGUAGAGUUCUCAAAUGCAUAAUUUGUGGUAGUAGAAGACUGCAUUUAUUCUUUCCUUUG